AUACGGAGGGUGCAAGCGUUACUCGGAAUCACUGGGCGUAAAGCGCGCGCAGGCGGCCAUUUAAGUUGGAUGUGAAAGCCUACGGCUCAACCGUAGAACUGCAUCCAAAACUAUUUGGCUAGAGUGUGGGAGAGGAAGAUGGAAUUAGUUGUGUAGGGGUAAAAUCCGUAGAGAUAACUAGGAAUACCAAAAGCGAAGACAAUCUUCUGGAACAUUACUGACGCUGAGGCGCGAAAGCGUGGGGAGCAAACAGGAUUAGAAACCCGAGUAGUCC
rnacentral:rRNA from 1 species